CCCCAACGAAACUGAAAGUAAUGGGCACAGCCCGAGCUGACUUUCUGUCGAGAAGGGAAACCUACAGGACCGUUAUGGUUUUGGGUUGUUGCAGUGCUGUUUCUUGAGUCCCUCCUCCUCUCCCCACUUCCCUUUUCUCUCCACUCAUUUGACAGGAGCCUCCGCAAUCAUCUGCUUAGAACACGUCAUCAUCAUCCACUGGGAGAGAGUUGUGGCACCACCUUUCUCCCCCUAUGGCUGAAGCCCACAGAAGAAAGAUGAGGAGUUGUGCUUCUGCGCUGGAGCCGCGCGACUGCCCGGAACUGUAACCUGCAAGAUGAUGCCCAAGUGCAGCUUCCCCCUUUUUGUGCCGCAUAUAACUGUAUGCUGCCCUUUUUGAAGCUGAUGCUUUCUCCUUUAGAGCCAUGCCCUCCACAUUGCCCAGAUGAUGUGCUAAGUCCCUUCCACUUGCAGAGAUUCAGUGCAUUAAGUGUAAAAACCACACAUCUCUGUUUUUUCUUUUAGUAAGGGAGUGAAGACCCAGAGGUGGAUGGUUUCAUUUGGAUUAGUCAUGCUGUUUAUCGGGUCCCUGUCCUCUGACAUGGAAAUUCCCAUCUCCCAUCGGGGUAUAGCUGUCGGCAUAAAUUAUAGGCUCUGGUUCAAAACAGGGCCCUCUCUUUUGUCCAGUAGCACCAGAAACACAUUAAUUAGGGACCUUGCUGGAACAGAAGGCUUCUCAAGGCUCCUGGAAAAGGAAGGUUGGGCCCCCAAGUCCUGUAUGUGAUCACUUGGGCUCUAGCCUUCACAAUCUGGAUCCAACCAGAUGAGCACUGAGAGCUCAGUGUUUGGAGCACAAAGAAGAACAAAGAAUAUAUAGUAACUUAGUGAAUCAGGGACAGGAUCCAAGAGGAAGCCUGACAUUUGUUUAUCAGCAGAGAAACAGAAGUAAAGGAGGGAAUGUCUCCCUAAGUGCUACUGUGUUAAUAAAAGUGUCCUCUAGAGAGAGGCUACAUGAACAGGGCAGCUGAUAACAUUAAUACUGUGCAGGUAGGCACACAUCUUCCCCCAUGGCCAGGACUGCUGAACCAAGUGGCCCUAAACUAAUGGGCAGGGAUACAGCUCUAAGCCUUUCCUGCGGCAAUCCUCAGAGGGAGUUGGCUCAGACAAAGCAAAGCAGCUUCUCCCUCGGUUCUUUGUUCUUCCUUGGAAAAUGGGCUCUCUCUCAAGUCUCAUACCCCAGCUGCUUUCCCCUCUUGUACAAGGGCAAAAUAAAGUAAUCGCCAAUAA